rnacentral:lncRNA from 1 species
AUGUCCCUCUUAUGUUCUCUUAAUUUACUAGGUUGCAGGAAAACUGAUGGGGUUAAACUUAAAGUUGCUGAGAGGGGGAAAGAGAGGGUAGUGCUUCAUACAGCACUUACCAGAAUAAAUCAACCACUCCAGAGCAGACUCACUAAAUGGUUUCCACAAAUGAGUGUAACACAUUGUCUUUUGGUUCUGGUAAAAUGUCAAGAUUUACAUUAAAUUUGUAUAGCUACUAUGAAAACAGUGUGAAGGUUCCUCAAAAAAUUAAAAAUAGAUCCAUAUGAUCCAGCAAUCCCACUUCUGGUUAUAUAUCCGAAGGAAAUGAAAUCACUCUGUGGAAGAGAUAUCUGUACCUCCCUGGUUAUUGCAGCAUUAUUUACAAUAACGAAGACAUGGAAACAACCUAAGUGUCCACCGACGGAUCAGUGGAUAAAGAAAAUGUGGAAUACAUAUACAGUGGAAUACUCCAGCCAUAAAUAAGAAGUCCUGACAUUUGUGACAACGUGGAUGGACCUUGAAGGCAUUUUGCUAAGUGAACUAAAUCAUAGAAAGACAAAUAGUGUGUGAUCUCACUUAUGUGUGGAAUCUAUAAAAAACCUAAUGAAAAAUGAGAUUUGUGGUUGCUGGGGGUGGGGGUGGCAGGGUGAGGGAAUUGAGUGAAGGUGGUAAAAAGAUACAAGCUUCUAGUUCUAAGCACGUAUUGGGAUGUAAUGUACAGCACGGUGACUGUAAUUAGUAAUACUCUAUUGCAUAUUGGCAAGUUCCUAAGAGAUCUUAAAAAUUCUGAUCACAAGGAAGAAAAAACAUUUUGUAAUUGUGAGGUCAUGGAUGUUAACUAAACUUAUGGUAAUCAUUUCAUAAUAUACACAUUAUCAAAUCAUGCUGUAUACCUUAAAUGUAUAUAUUAUGUAUAUUGUAAAAAGCCUGUACAGAUUUGUGUAUACUACUUCAGCCCUUAAAAAUAAGCUCACUGAAAAUUGGGAAUUUGGACAAGUUUGACUUCCUUAACUAAGAGUAUUCUUGGAAGUACUCUUAAGUAAAUAUAGGCUAGAAUUCUAUUUUAAAAAAAUUAUUUGUAACUUACUGAUUUGAAAAAGACAUAAAAUUAAUUUAUGGAAUUUGUUCUUCACCUUUUUUAAUACCAAUAAGCCAGUCUGAGAAGUCGGUGAGAACUGGGAAUCAGUUGCAUGCUUACUUCUGUAACACUUAGACGGCUCUCACCCCCGGAACAACGAUGCCAGCUUGGUACAAAGUGAGCGCUGUGGCCUUGUCGUUUGCUUAAGGAGAAUUCCACUCUUCAAGAGACAGAGAAUCACUCUGAACUAGGAAGGGAUGAAAAAGGGCCUAGCUCAGGUAUCACUUUGUGCUCAGGUGGAAUAGAUCCCUCCCUCUUCUGAGUCCUCAUGCCAGGCAGAGUCACUUUCAAAUGAGCCAGCGGGCAAAGAGGAGGGACUGCCACUCUAAUGCAAAUCACAUUUUUACAAGUUUUCUUUUAUACUUUUAUAUUAGCAGCUCAUGGGCCAAAGAAGCAUUGCCUUGAGAAGGACAUGGUUGGGGAAGCAGAGUGGACCAGAGUAAAUACUGUUUUACUCUAUAAAGACAUGUUUAUAAUGCACCAUAAGUGUUCCCUCCCUUUGUAAUUGCUGGUGAGGAACUUAGGAAGUUAUGUUUGAGCAGAAAUAAACUGUAAUUCUGAAUUAAAUAUAGAGAAGUUUUACUGCACCCAUUUUCACGUACUUAUUUCUAAGAAAUAUAUGGUGAUGGAAGAAUUGACUUUGGGCAGUGAACACACAGUGCAUUGUAUAAAUGUUGUAUUAUAGAACAGUGGGAAAGUUGAAAACUAUAGAAAACUUGUACACUUGAAAACUAAUUUUACUUGCCAAUGUCACCCCAAUUAAUAAAAAUUUAAAGAAAUAAUUUAAAAAAUUGGCACUUGUAUAGAAGCAGGCUGUAGUAUUUAUUUUUUUUAAGUCUAAUUGAAGUAUGUUUCAACCAAAGAUUAUAACAAUUACCAAAAUAAAUUCACUUUUAUAACAGUUUCUGCUUCAAAUUUUUUCAAUUUAGUGUAUACCCAUAUGAUUGAUGUGUAAAUAUCGAUUGUUGUUUGUUAAAUAAUUUGUCAAUUACUUUGAAUUACAAUUUAUCAGUUCAAAUAUGCUGCCUUAUUAUUGACAAAUAAAUUUGUCAAUUACAAUUGAUGACGGGAAAGGGGCCACAGGUUAAACCUGACAAGGUCAGGAGAACUGAAAAUAACCACUUAAGAUGGGGUGAAUAUAAAAAAAUUCACAGCUGAGGUGGGCCAUGGCUGGAAGUCACAUCUUUAGCCAGAAGCUUGCUUCAUAAAGUCAGUCUUCACCUGAAGUGAGCCUUUCUAUUGUCUUUUUGCACCUAAGAUGACAUCCUUGGAAUGUCAGUCAUCCCUUUUUCCAGACCAGAGCAGGAAAGUACAGAAUCCCUCAUUAUUCUUCUUGUCCCUUGAUUAACAUCUCUAUGUGAACUAUCAACUGUCUUGUACCCACCUAUGUAAAAGAAGUACCUGCCUCUCCAAUUUACUUUUAUCCAAUCCCAGUGGUUUCCCUGCUUUGUUUUCUCCCACCCCUUAAUCUACCACCAAUGGAUUUCAUGUAACCCUCCUCCUUUGAUUCUAUGUAUAAAAUAAACUGCGAACUGCCAUUUUGCGGAGCAUUUUCUCAAUCCGUUGAGAUUUUGCUUCCCGGCAAUUGUCAAUUUGGCUCAAAUAAACUCUUACAAGCUUUCUGUUAGGUUGAAUUUUUUUUUUUUUUUGUCAACAAUAUAUGGAGAAACGAGUUUUCUCUAGAAGACUUUGUUUAAAGGACAGGGAAAGCAGCAUAUUUGAAUUAAAAGUUUCUUAAAACUAGAGGAAUGUAUUUGCAGUGAAAUAAGAAGUGCCGUGUGUAGAGGUCUUUUUCAUUUUUUGAAAACUAUCUUCAAGUCUACAAAAAAUAAAAUGUAGGACUGGAGAAGUUUUAUUUGUGAUGAUGCGUUUAUUUUCAGUGUGUUGUAUCUCAAAUCAGAUGUGUUUUUGCAGUAUGUUUUCUCCAAAACUUAGUAGUAAUACCUGACAGCUAACACUGUAACCCAGAGUGAACUUUUUACAUAUUAAAAUUUGUAUAUUUGUACUUAAGAGCAGAAUUUAACAUAGUCUUCUGACUUUCAGUUAUGAUCUGAAACAGCGAAUGUAUGCAUAGAAUUUUUUUCCUAAAGCAGUGCUUUCAUUAUUUCCAGGCUCAUCCAGAAAAGGAUACACUGAAAUGAAGUGGUUCGCCUCUGUAAAUCGUAGCACUGCUGCCCUCGUGUGGACUGUUAGGGCAUUUGACAAUCCCUUCCUUCGUGUUCAAAUUGUUUUUAUUCAGAGGUUUCAGUUAUUGCUCUGAUUCUUAAAAGCUAUCUUUAAUUUCCUUUUGGACCUAGUAAUAACUAGCACUUUUGUGCUUUUCUUUCUGUAAAAUUAACAUUUUAAGAAGGGUUAAACUCUGUCCCUUAUUGCUUAAAUAUGGGGGGAGAAUAAUAUUGGGGUCUGUGGUCAGUCAACUAUUUUUCCUUUCCUCUUUUUUACGUACCAGCAGAAAGUGAACAAAUCGCCUUAAGUAUAGAUCACAUUGAGAAAGUUACCCACCCUGAUUCCUGACUUGCCAGCCCAAGAAAACUUGUGUAGGAGUAAAACUGACGUUUGCAGGAGGACCCACUUCUGGUUAUGUUACAUCCCUUAUGUAAUUUUUAAAAAAUAAAAGUAUUGUAUGUUGCAGUGACAAGCUUUCUGCCAAAUAUCGGAAACAAGCAACAGCUCUGCUCUCCUGGAACUCAGGGCUUGUGGCUUCGUUGACUUCUGAAGACUCCUGUCAUUUAGAUGCAUUUAAUUUAUGGUGGUUGGGGAAAUGACCAGUCAUUGAUCACCUACUGCUUUGCCACUUGAAAAGGCUCCUAGGAAAAUACUCCUUCAAUUUGCGUUUGACUUGGGGCUCAAUUAUGGGAGAAUCCUUGGACAUGAUGCCCUAGAACCCUGCUUCUCAAAUUUCAGUGUGUAGGUGAGUCACAGUGAUCUUGUUAAAUGCAGAUUCUAAUUCAGUAGGUCUCAGUGGGGCCCAGAGCUCAGCAUUUCUGGGAGUUCCACAUUCUGCUGUUUGUGGUAGGCUGUAUAAUGAAUGGCCUCAGAAAUACCAGGGUCCUAAUACCCGGGACCUGUAAAUGUUACCUGUAUGGCAAAGGGUCUUCACAGGUGAGAUCUUGGAUGGGGAGAGUAUCCUGGAUUAUCCAGGUGGGGCCCUAACUGUAAUCACAGAUAUUCUUGUAAAAGGAAGGCAGAGGGAGAGAGAUUUGACUACAGAAGGCAAUGUGACCACUGAAGCAAAAUGCUCCUAGCUUUGAGGAGGGAGGAGGGAUCUGCAAGCCAAAGAAUGCAGCUCUAGAAGCUGGAAAAGCAAAGAAACAUUCUCUCCUAGUACUUCUGGAGGGAGCGUGGCCCUGCCAGUACCUUGAUUUCAGACCAGUGACUGAUGUCAGAUCGGACCUCUCGAACUAUUAAGAAUAAACACGCGUUGUUUUAAAACACAGUGUGAAUGCUUCUGUCUCACCAAAAUUCUUACGUUAAAU